rnacentral:rRNA from 1 species
GCUCAGAUUGAACGCCGGCGGCAUGCCUUACACAUGCAAGUCGAACGGCAGCACGGGGGGUAACCCCUGGUGGCGAGUGGCGAACGGGUGAGUAAUAUAUCGGAACGUGUCCAGUAGUGGGGGAUAGCUCGGCGAAAGCCGGAUUAAUACCGCAUACGCACUACGGUGGAAAGCGGGGGACCGCAAGGCCUCGCGCUAUUGGAGCGGCCGAUAUCGGAUUAGCUAGUUGGUGAGGUAAUGGCCCACCAAGGCGACGAUCCGUAGCUGGUCUGAGAGGACGACCAGCCACACUGGAACUGAGACACGGUCCAGACUCCUACGGGAGGCAGCAGUGGGGAAUUUUGGACAAUGGGGGCAACCCUGAUCCAGCCAUGCCGCGUGAGUGAAGAAGGCCUUCGGGUUGUAAAGCUCUUUCGGCGGGGACGAAACGGUUCGUGACAACACCACGGACUAAUGACGGUACCCGCAGAAGAAGCACCGGCUAACUACGUGCCAGCAGCCGCGGUAAUACGUAGGGUGCAGGCGUUAAUCGGAAUUACUGGGCGUAAAGCGUGCGUAGGCGGUUUGUUAAGACAGGUGUGAAAUCCCCGGGCUUAACCUGGGAACUGCGCUUGUUACUGGCAGACUGGAGUGUGGCAGAGGGGGGUGGAAUUCCACGUGUAGCAGUGAAAUGCGUAGAUAUGUGGAGGAACACCGAUGGCGAAGGCAGCCCCCUGGGCUAACACUGACGCUGAUGCACGAAAGCGUGGGGAGCAAACAGGAUUAGAUACCCUGGUAGUCCACGCCCUAAACUAUGUCAACUGGUUGUCGGGGAAGCAAUUCCUUGGUAACGAAGCUAACGCGUGAAGUUGACCGCCUGGGGAGUAC